GUCACACUCUCAGAGACACUCCCACCUGCAGCUCUUCAUAUCUCUGUAACCACACCAACAGACGUACAGUAUAUGACACACUCAGUUUUAGAACAUGGACAUUAUCAAACAUGGACGCCUCAGCUUUUUAAUAUCACUGCUCUGCAUACAAGGUCUAAUUGAUGGGAGUGAUGUCAACCAGACGGACAUACUGUGGAAAAACGAGACCGACAGUGCAACAAUAAGCUGCAGCCACACCAAGGGUGGCAGCUACUUCCAGAUGUACUGGUACAGACAGCGGCCGGGAGAAACAAUGAAACUAAUAGUGUUAACUAUUACAAACAACAAACCGGACUUUGAGCCAGGCUUUAAUGAUGAGAAAUAUUCAACCACCAAGACUGAAGCUGAGAGUGGGACAUUCACAGUGAAGAAUCUGGAGCCAGAAGAUAAAGGCUUGUAUUUCUGUGCUGUGAGUGAACACAGUGAUACAGACACAUUCAACAGCUGAACAAAAACCCCAGUGCACCGUUGGCUCUAUUAGUGAGUCUAUCUAUCUGCUGUACUGUAGGGGGACCUCAAGGACCACAAAUACUCAGUUACACUUUUGAUCAGAAGCCACACAAUAUAUGACACUCCCACCUGCAACUCUUUAUCUCUGUGACUACACUGACAGUUUUCUGACAUUCUGACCAUUAGGGGUGUUGAAAUUAAUCAAAUAAUCGAUGCAUCGUAAAGCGGACAUGGACGAUGCUGCAUCGAUGCAGUGGCCGACCAUAAUUGAUUAUAACGCAAUGAUGUCGCUCGUUAAUUUCCCGGCCGCAGCAUAAACAUUCAAAUGAAAAAUAACAUUCUCAGUAGUCUAACCCGUUUCAUCUAGACCUAUGAUAGACAAUUAAUUUUCCCAAGGGGCCACAUGAGAAACAGGGACUGUUGGGGAGGGCCUUACCAAUAGGCUAAACUAAAUUCUCUCAGGCAGCACAUAUAAAAUAAUGUGCCGCCUGCAAAGCCGCACGUUCUCAAACGCCUCUUUUUUCUCUGGGCAUAUUAGCACAGCAGAGUCCACCAAACACUCUUUAAUAAACUCCCCUUCAGAAAAUGGCUUACUGUUUUUGGCGAUUUUGUGGGAUAUCACAAAGCUGGUCUUGACGCUUGGUAAAAAA